CAGUCGCCGCGGGAAUACGGAGGGUGCGAGCGUUAAUCGGAAUUACUGGGCGUAAAGCGUACGCAGGCGGUGUUGUAAGACUGAUGUGAAAUCCCCGGGCUCAACCUGGGAACUGCAUUGGUGACUGCAACGCUGGAGUGUGGCAGAGGGUGAUGGAAUUCCGCGUGUAGCAGUGAAAUUCGUAGAUAUUCGGAAGAACACCAGUGGCGAAGGCGACUGACUGGACUAGUAUUGACGCUGAGGUGCGAAAGCGUGGGGAGCAAACAGGAUUAGAUACCCGCGUAGUCCCUGUCUCUUAUAC
rnacentral:rRNA from 1 species